AUCUUUACAGGAUUCCAAUUCCACAAGCAACAAAAAUUAAUUUAUGUAUUAUAUUAUAUUUCAAUUUUUCGCGCGAUUUUUGAAUGAAAAAAAUAAGCAUUAAGAGCCAGCCAAUCAGAACAUCCCUUAAUUCGAAACGCGGGACGAAUAAGUGCGCAUCGCAGUGCGCAUCGGAGUGCGCAACGCAGUGCGCAUCACACUGCGCAUGUCGUCAGUCUACAGUUGAAAAUUGUGCGAAGUGGAUGUGUCGUCGCGAAUUCGGAUUACGCAGUAAGUUAUUUUACUUUUAUUAUUACCAAAUUUAUCAAUUAUUGUUAAUUUAGUUUUUCAAAUAAUCCAUUCGGUAUAGUGAAAACGAAAUUAAUUAGUUCUUUGCGUAUCUUUGUGUCUUUUCCUUCGAUUGUUCAUUUUGCGUCUAUUGCGUCAUUAGUGUCCCGUAUCGGAAUAUUUCGAGACAGAAUUUGAAAUCAUAUAUUGGUUUUUUUUAUGAUAUAAUUUUAAUCGUAUUACGUACGUUUAUUUUACAAUUUCUUGAUCUUUAUUUUUUAUCAUUUUAGUCAUAUUAAAGUAAAAGAACUUUUUUACGGUUUAUUACGUAUUCAUUUCGUGAAGUCGAAGUAUCAUUCAAGUAUAGCAUAUUUUUCCGAAUGUAUAUAUAUUGCGUCUUCCCGCGUAUAUGUUUAUUGUUUACUUUUUUUGGUCUAUCGUUUAUACUUUGCUCGAGGCUAGAAACAUUUCUUAUGAUAUUUCACUUCUGAGAAAUUGGAUUUGUGUUCAAACAUGUUUCGACUUGUCGAGCGUAUCCCCUCUCCAUCUUGUUAUUCGAUGCGCGAAAUCGAAGCGCAAAGUGACAUUGUUCGUUGAUUCUUAGUGACGAUUAGACGUUUGAAAUUUUCUCGAGAUAUAUGUUCUAUUUAUUGCACAGUAUUUUAAUAUUAUUAUUUUUUUUAUACUACUUUUGUUAUUAUUUGUGCGUUAAUUAAUACACGUUUAUUCAGUAUUUUAUUCAACAUUGUUAGAAUUGGUAGUUUUUUGACAAUUAAAUAAUUUUGAAUUCCUCGUUCGUAUCUCAUAUAUAAUUCGAGUGUCGAAUUACAAGAUGGCUUAUAUCAUUUAAUUGAUAGCGUAUGGUAAUAUUCUCGAAGGCGGGAAAAAAUCCAAUAUGGACGCCAUGGACGUCUUGGUGACUUUCUUUCGUGGUAAAAAUUUUAUAUUUCGUAUGUAUAAAUUUUUAUUCUGUUUUCUUGAAUUAUUUAAUUUAGAUUGUUGUUAAGCAAUUCAUAAUAAAAUUACGUUCUAGUUAAAGAAAAAUGAAAAAAUUAAAAAUUUAUGAGAAAAUUUUAAUGAUUUAUCAUUGGAAAUUAAAUUUUAAAAUCUGAUAAGGAAUAUUUUAUUAAAUUUCAGAUAUUAAUAAAUAAUUGGUAACAUUUUUAUACGUAAUUCAUGAUUAGUUAAAAUGGAAAGGCAAUAUUUCCAGAACAAAUGCUCGAUAAGAAGAAGAAAAGUAUCAAAAAGAUAUUUCUUUUUCUUCUAUUCCCCAUCCCUCUACUAAUUUAAUGUUAAUUUCAGAAAAUAUUUGUGACCGCGCGCAAUGCGGUUAAUAGAAUCAGUGUUUGCUUCGUCAUAGUAUUUUGAAUAUUUUUUAGAGCACAACAGCUCUUAUUAAAUUUAAUUAGAAUAAUCAAACGCGAAGAUAGAAUCAGUGUUUGUUCGCCGAUUAUAAUAUAUACGGACGCGUUAUUAGAGUUUCUUAUUUUAUUUUUUUUUUUAUUCUCAAUAUUCGUUUUCGGCACAGGGUAGAGUCAGUGCUUCUCUCAAGAGAAUAAGGCGAUCAUCCACCACGCGAAGAGAUGCUGAUGAUCUUUAUGAAGAUUUUUGGAUUUUAAUCUUAAAAAAUAUUUGUGACCACGUGCAAUGUGGUUAGUAGAAUCAGUGUUUGCUUCGUUAUAGUAUUUUGAAUAUUUUUUUAGAGCACAACAGCUCUUAAAUUAAAUUUUAAUUAGAAUGAUCAAACGCGAAGAUAGAAUCAGUGUUUGUUCGCCGAUUAUAAUUUAUACG